rnacentral:rRNA from 1 species
UCUGGAAUAAUACGCCAAAGGGGUACGUAAUACCGGAUAUCUUGCUUUUCAUAAGUAUGCAAGCAAAGGUGGCCUCUGCAUAUGCUACUGCAUGAAGAGGGGUCUGCGUACCAUUAGCUAGUAGGUGGGGUAAUGGGCCUACCUAGGCGACGAUGGUUAGCGGGUCUGAGAGGAUGAUCCGCCACACUGGCACUGGAACACGGGCCAGACUCCUACGGGAGGCAGCAGUGAGGAAUAUUGCGCAAUGGGGGAAACCCUGACGCAGCGACGCCGCGUGAGUGAGGAAGGCCUUCGGGUCGUAAGCUCUGUUCAAGAGGAAAGAAGUGUACAAUGGCUAAUACCUGUUGUAUUUGACGGUACCUCUAAAGGAAGCACCGGCUAACUCCGUGCCAGCCGCGGC